AAUGAAGUGCCUGAAAAAAGGACUAUCUUGAUAGGAUAAAUUAUGCAAAAAAACUUGCCUUCAUUA
rnacentral:tRNA from 1 species